CAGUCAUGAAGAGCAGUAGUAUGUUGAUGUUGUUCCUGGUGGUUCUGGUAGCUAUGCAGUGUUCUGCUGAACUACCCCCUCUUCCUCCAGAUGAUGCCGAUGACGCUGUAAAAUACGCCGUAACAUACGAUGAUGAUGCAGGUACGAUGAUGCACGAGCAAGUUUUGAGGAGUCGACCCGCAAAAGGUGGUGUUUAGGUAGUACCCUUCUUCCUCAAUAAGGUUGCGCUAAAAUGGAGAAGAAAAAACACCCUCCAAAACUGAUAGACAACUUGUGUUUUGGUCUAUACCUCCUGUAAAUGAUGCCAGAGAGACACAAACGAAUGUCAGAGAGGCACAGCCAUAGCAACCUGAGGCUGGAGAUGGUGUGAUAUAAAAAGAACACGUAAAUUCUGGAAUGGUUUCUGGGACAGCGUCACCGAUCAUCCAACAUUUCUCUCGGCCGAUGUAUUUCUAAUUGGAUUUAGUGAUCAGUGAAAAACAACAACAACAACAAUGACAACAAUGAUAAUAAUGACGACGACAACUGUGGGAGUAGGAUUUGAGGCGGGACUGCACUACUUGUAGCUACAUGCGCCCUCUAUACAACCAACAAUGCCUUAGCGGUACCCGUUGAUCCCCAUGGUCCCCUUUUUCUUAUGUUAAUCGAUAGGUGUUUUGAUGUAAUAACCACCUACCAGUAUGUGACCUAGCAGGGAGAUAUAAUCCCUCCAUGCCAAACUAGUGCUGAUAGGCUUUAAUUGUAAUUCUAAACAACUUGAUAUCCACCGUCCACGACAAUAGGUGGAACAGUCGUUACCGUUGUUAAAUCAUAUCUUCCGGGCUUAUGAUCAUAAUGAUAUAGUUAGUUUUCUUAUUGGAACCGGGAACCAUUGCGCGAUGAUUAUAGAUUGUAGAUUAUGUACGGGUGUAGAAACAGCGCGCAUGGAUAAAUUACAAAGACAGAAAAAAAGAAGCAACACAAAACUUACAAUAAUUUCGAUGUAAUGUAUCUUCUGGAUAAUCAUGAUAUCACACUCGUGCUUUGGUAAUAAAUUGAGUGACGUUGAUGAUGAAACUAAAA